rnacentral:rRNA from 1 species
ACCGGCAGCCAUAUCACCCUGUAGCCCAAGACUGGUCGCCACUGAAGCUAAGCAGGGCUGAGCCUGGUCAGUACCUGGAUGGGAGACCUCCUGGGAAAACUAACUGGAUUCGUUU